rnacentral:rRNA from 1 species
AACGAACGCUGGCGGCAGGCUUAACACAUGCAAGUCGAGCGCCCCGCAAGGGGAGCGGCAGACGGGUGAGUAACGCGUGGGAACCUACCCAUCUCUACGGAAUAACGCAUGGAAACGUGUGCUAAUACCGUAUACGUCCUUCGGGAGAAAGAUUUAUCGGAGAUGGAUGAGCCCGCGUCGGAUUAGCUAGUUGGUGUGGUAAAGGCCUACCAAGGCGACGAUCCAUAGCUGGUCUGAGAGGAUGAUCAGCCACACUGGGACUGAGACACGGCCCAGACUCCUACGGGAGGCAGCAGUGGGGAAUACUGGACAAUGGGCGCAAGCCUGAUCCAGCCAUGCCGCGUGAGUGAUGAAGGCCCUAGGGUUGUAAAGCUCUUUCACCGGUGAAGAUAAUGACGGUAACCGGAGAAGAAGCCCCGGCUAACUUCGUGCCAGCCGCCGCAGUAAUAC